rnacentral:lncRNA from 1 species
UUUUUUUUUUCAGUUACAAGCAGGAGAACAAGCCAUUGUGCCUGCAAAACAAAAGCAGCUAUUUCCUGACCAGCUCUGCCUUAGUGAUUUCAAGAGUAAUAAAUUUGCUGGUGGAAAAAUAUUAUUACACCGAAUAUUCAUCAGUCACAGAAAAGCACCAGAUAUGUCAAAGACUGGGGGUAAUACAUCUGAGAUAAAUAUCCCUAUACAGGCCAGUCAAGUCCCUUCAAUCCCAAAGUGGGUGACUUACUUUGCUCAGUGCCAUAUAUUCCUACUUCAAAAAGCAGGGAAGGAUGGAUGUUUUUCCAUGGCUUUUACUGAAGCAGGGAUUAUGAAGUGCAGCACAGAAAUUAUAGUGGGAAUUUCCAGUCCCAUGUCCCACUGCAGGUCAGGAAGGAUAGGGAUGACUAUAUUUGCUUCUGGCCUUAAAGAAAUGCAUCUGUGGAAACACAGUCAGAGCUUAUGGGCCAUUGGAUCCAUGUGCUCUGAAAUUACUUUUUUAGCACUGAAAAUGACAUUAUCUGCAAGAACAAAUAAGCUGUGUCUGCCAGCAUCAGCAGUUGAGCCUGGAAAUGGGAAAAGUGUGAGGAGAAAAUCCCAGCCUGCUUAAUUGCCUCACAAAUCAAAGUUCUGGGCAAUAGCUCCUGUUCAGGGGAAAUUCAGAUGAGAAAUAUGAUUACUGCUCUCUGCAGGGGAAAGGCAGCACUUGGACAAAAUGUGGGCUGGUUUUUCCUAGUGAUCCCUGUGCCAGGGUUUGGCUUGCCAGAGCUCCUUGGGAAAGUCAAAGCUUUCUUCUAUUUCAGCAGUUUUGUGCUGGUCAGGGUGGACUUGAGCUGGUGCAGCUUCUCCCAUGGGGUGGGUUGAUGUCCUUCCACAUGCACCAGGCAGAACUCAGGGCACUCUGUGGGCCAGUCCAUGGAAAUUCAAAUGUCUAUGGGAAAAAGAAAGAUAAAAAUCUUCAUUUUCUUUCCAUGAAAACAGCAUGAGGUUUUAAUAAUGGGGCAGCUGGUAAAGUGUUUGUAUAUAAAUAACACCUAAGUGAGUGUAGUGUUGGUGCUCAUAUGCAUUAAACUUCCAGAAUGUUCUGUGCAGAGAACCAAAUAUCUCACCAGUAGGAUAAAAAGUUUGUUUUAUUUGACCUGAGUUGUGCAUAAAUCCAGUGCCAAAUGACCCUGGCAGGCUCAGCCUGUGCUGGAGUGACACGAGGGCCAAGCUGGUAUCUGAUGGUUGGGGCUUUCUGAGAGGACUUGAAGGGAUGGGAGCAAUUCCAUGUACCAAAACCAUGCAGCACAAAUGUAAACAUGAAUAUCUGGGUGCAGGGGGCUUAUGAGUCUUUGCAGGAAUUUGGGUUUGGCUGUUCUCUGCCUGUUCCUGAGUACAUUUGCAUGCUUGUCUGUCAGAUCACUCCAUGCUGGAUGUCCCAACACUACAGCCUCUGUGGCUGUGGUUCUGGGCAGCCUCAGGGAAAGUGCCAGCCCUCAGCUCCCUCUGUUCCAACUCGGGUCUCUUUUUUCCUCCCAUUUCCUCCCUCUGAGCCCCAGAGUGACUUUCCUUUUUUCUGAAGAGGGAAAGCUGCUCCAUGGGUGGCAGAAGGACGUGCCCAGAGGGGGUCUCAUGGUAUGGCUGGGCUCAGUCUGAGCCAUGGCCAUGGCAGGGGCUCCCCCAGCACCUCCGUUCCUUCCCCAGGCGACCUGCUCCGGGCAGAGGAGGAGCUGGGUUGCUGCAGCAGCUGGGAGGGAGUGUGGGAGCUCAAGGAGGUUGGUGUGAAAGAUGGGGUGAAACCCCCUCAGCGGGGCGAGUGUUGCAAGGGUGAAGCCACUUUCCUUUUUCUCUUGGCUUUAUUAGAGGGUUCAAAUGUAAUUUAAUUGGUACUUUAGCCUUGAGCUGCCCUCAGCGUGGGAGCUGCAGAGUCGAGAGCCAGGGAACUCCAGCUCUCACCUUCCUGUCCUCUCCAAAGCAAACAAACAACCAAACACUCCAGUAAUUAACUGCACACCCAGGCUGUGAGAAGCACUGCAGGGAGACAUCACCCAGGAGAGAGCAGGAGGAAAAUGAUGAGCCUGAAAAGGCUGAUCCAGGAAAAUAAUGAGCUUCUCCUGUGGAGGAGGAUGCAAAAGGAAUCUGGGCACUAAAUUCCUCCUUAGAACUGUAGAAUCAGAGAUUUUUGUAGGUUGGAAAAACCCUCUGAGAUUACCAAGUCCAACUGUUCCCCUAGGCCGGCCAAGGCAACCACUGCUCAUGUCCCCAAGUGACACAUCCACAUGGAUUUUAAAUCUGCCCAGGACUGGGGACUCCACGACUGACUCAACCAUCACUCUCCAUCAUCUGCUUGGAGCAGGUGGAAAGGUCGAGCUGCAGGAGGGAAUCUUGCACUGAUUAUGCACGUGAGGCUUUCCUGCAGGACACCCGAACUGCUGAGUCAAGGAACAGCCCUGGGCAUGAGGACUCAAGGGCACCUUGUGGGAGAUUUAGACCUGCUCUAAACACCAGCUUGGGUUUGGACCAGUCCCAAAGGAUUUUUCUUACAGGAAUUCCUACUGCAGUUAAAGGAACUAUUCCCAUCCCCCUGCAGAGAGAGUUAAAUUGGGGUAACCUGAGCAGCUUCCCAUGCCCGCCAGCAGUGCCCAAGGACAGUCUGGGACACAGCUCUGCCCAUGCCAGGGACAGGGCACUGCAGGGUGAUGGAGGAACAGCAGGGUGCUCCAGGCUGUGCCAAAGCAGUCUGGAUCACGCUGCCAGCCUUGCACAGAAAGUUCCUUUUCCCUGUGCUCCCCUUCAGCUGCUUUGGGAGAGUUCAGCAGCAGCUGCUCUGCGGCGGGGCAAUGAGCAGCACCAAAUGUGCCGUGUGCUGGAUCUGGUGCCUCGUUUAGUCCAUCUGUGCCAUGGAGAUCUGUUCUUUGUUCCUCUCUAACUUCCUGGGAGAUGUAGCCACGGCAGUGUUACGUGGCAAUGGCUGUUCCAGGUCAGGCACAGAUUGAGCUGGGAGUCUGUCCCAGCUCAUCUGUGCCCUGUAGGUCCUGGCAGAGCAAUCCAGGUCCUCCCAGCAAAAGCACCUCCCACUAUCCCAGGGCAGUCCAGCCUGGCCUUGGGCACUGCAGGGAUCCAGGGGCAGCUACAGCUGCUCUGGGCACCUGUGCCAGGGCCUGCCCACCCUGAUAAACAAUUCCUGAGCUCAUGGAGCAUCUCCUCAGUAAAGACCUGAGUGUGGAUAUGUGUGUGAUGGCUGCUGCAGUCGGAGAAAUGAGCAGAACACCUUUUCUAAAUGUAUAUUCCUUGCAGACAGUCCUUAAGCUUCUUCAAGUAUUCCCUGUAAAAAUGUGUCAUGUCCAAAACAGUCUGAGUGCAGUCCAGAUCCGCUCUGGUGAUAUGAGCUGUAAAUGUGCCCCAACAGAAAACGUCAAAACAAGAACCAUCACAGUUGUACCACAACAGGAGGUAAAACUGUCAAAACUGAAGAUUGGGAGGGUAAGAAGGCUCUGUUUCACAUCCCACUGAGUGAUUCUGCAGAGGAUUCAUUCCCAAGGCAAACCUGGAAAUCACUGAUAGUUCUCUGGGAGCAAUGGAGAAACAGAAUUGAGCUGGGAACAGUCAGGAAAGUUUGACAUGGCUGAAGCCUGGUCCUGAAGGGCAGGUCUGGGAUCUGCACAGGAAAAACUCAAGAUUCCCUCUCCUCUGGCUGCAUCUGUCCUGUGUCCAGCAGUUCAUCUUUAGGGGACAGACAGAGGUGCCAUAUUCAUCUUCUUGUCCUCCCCAGGGCGUGGAAAAGCCUGAGGAGUUCCCAGGGUGAUGUUUAGAUGACCCACAUGGGGAGUGAUGCCUCCAGGAGAGAGAAACAUCAUCCAGGGUUGAUCAAGAGAAGCCUGUUGUGUUGUGGAGUUCAUUAAGGACUCUGGAUACAGCACAGUAGUUGUGCCACAGCAGCAAUAAACUCCUGCAAAAUGCAUUUUAAUGGGCUUUUGUAAGUGCCCCAGGGGAGCUGUGGUGCAGGAGCUCAGGGGGGAAUCAUUUCCAUCUGUCUCAAAUGGACUCUGGGUGCUGUUGGUGCUUUGAGUGUGGAAUUAUCCUGGAAUUAUUCCCUCCACUCCUGGCCAGGUGCCACUGCACAAACCUCCCUGACGUUUCCAUUGCCAUCUCCAGAAGCCUUUGCUGGCAAUAGCCUCUCUGAUUUUCUCCCACUUCACUUUUAAAAACUUUAUUCAACAACUUUGUGGAAACUAAUUUGAUCUUUGCUGCCCAAGAAAACACAAUCUGGCAGGAGCAUCACUGAAAUAAUGGAUACAACCAAAUCCCAGGGACUUUGGCUGUUCCAGCCAUGGCAGGAAGUUGGAACUACAUGAUCUGUAAAUUCCCUUCCAACCCAAACCAUUUUGGGAUUGCAGGAUUAUUCAGCUUUCUCAGAUGGAACCUCCUGCAAAUGGAAAAUAACCCAAGAAGGGUAAUAAUGGAAAGUGAGUUGGAAGAGGCCUUUACUAUUCUGUGUCUCCUAUUCAAUGGUUGCUCACCACAGUUGUAGGAAGGAUCCUGGAACAUCCGUGGAAGCUGCUGGAACAGAGGGAAAUGUGUCUGUUGAGCAAUGGCCUCCACGCCUUUGUUUGUACCUCUGCUAACUGGGAUUUUCUGAAAAUUCAGCCCUAUUUCUCCAAUUCUGCCUCCAAUAUACUGAAUUUUGCCUACAUAUGGAGGAAGAACACAAAGGCAGCUGGGUUUGGCUUCUGUCUGAUCUCCUGUACAGCACAGGACAUUUCCUGCCUGCUGUGUCUGACCCCCACAUCCCCCUUGCAGUGCAGGCAACUUGGCCUCUGGAGACGAGUUUUCCUUCAUUAACUGUCAAGAGAAUCCAGAUAACUCAUUCAAAUGGAGAUGUCAACAGUGAGGACGUUCACAUUUGGACAGAGUGCCAGCCCAGAGAGUCUGAGCACAGAGAUACAUUUCAUCACGUUUUAGGUGUCCAGAGAGGGGAUGUCAACAGCUGAGCCAAGGCAGCUUUUUCCUUCCCCAGCACUGAUAAUUCAGUCUCAGAAACUGGAAAGAAAGAUGACAAACCUCCCCUUUGGCUAGGAAAGGGGUCAGUGUGGCUAGCUGGAUGUCAAUAUAGAUUUUGUGGAUGACUCUGGGUGGGAUUGAGCCCAAGUGUUUCAUGUAGUUAUGAAGCAAAGGCUGAGUCACAAAUCAUCAUUUGUCAGAGCUCAUCCUGAUGGUUUAAAAUAUCAGGGAAAAAUAUCCCUGAGCCCAGUCCUUCUGAAUGUGCUGACUGAAAUUCCCAGACUCCAGCAAUAGUAAAACCAAACCUGUGACUCUGCUGCCCUGUCACUACAGCUUAGCAGCACACAGAUCACUCUCAGUGGGCAUCUGAGCCCACAGAGAGCUCACCCCGAGAGAAAGAAGCCCGGUCGCUGCUGGGGAGGGUGCAGGAUGCAGAGGUGAUGUGGCUGUUACCUUCACAACCAUCCCCAUCUGGGAGGCAUCUGAGGCAGGCACUCUGACCCCUGGCAAAACGUAUUUGAACUUUUAAUGACUUCAAUAAGGGAAUAAUUCUUGGCUGUUGGGAAAGGGGGAGGUGUCGCAGCUCCAGCUGAUCACUCAGAACCAUAAUGGGGGAGCUCAACAUGGGCUGGUUCCACAGGUUUGGACUUUGGCAAAGAAGGUACCACCAAAGCCCAUUCAAGACACAGCUGGAAAGGAAUAGGGCCUGAUUUUCUGCUUAUUUCCAUUCUGUUAUUCCAAAUUUAUGGAGAAUUUCCUUUUAAAAGGGGGCAAGGUGGUUGAAGUUAUUGGCAAUAACCAGGACAUGGGUCAGCCAUGGCCUUGGCAGUGCUGGGGAAUGACUGGACUCCAUAAACUCCAAGGGCUUUUCCAACUUUAAUGAAUCUCUGAUUCUACAGUUCUAAGAAGGAGGAAUUUAGUGCCCAGAUUCCUAUUGCAUCCUCCUGCACCGGAAAAGUUCAUUAUUUUCCUGGACUGGUUUUUUCAGACUCCUCAUUCUCCUGCCUGCCCUCUCCUGGGUGAUGUCUCCCACCAUUGCUCCUCACAGUUAGUUACUGAGGCAUUUGUUUGUUUGCUUUGGAGAGGACAGGGAAGGUGAGAGCUGGAGUUCCCUGGCUCUGCACUCAGUGCCUGGAGAAUUGCCCCUGCACAGGUCUAGCCUUGUAGAAUCUGAGAAUGGAAUCCUGGCAUGGUUUGGGUUGGAAGGAUCUGAAAAGCAUCCAGUGCCACCCCUGCCAUGGGCAGGGACACCUUCCACUGUCCCAGAUUACUUCAAGCCCUGGCCAACCUGGCUUUGGACACUUCCAGUGAUCCAGAAGCAGCCACAGCUUCUCUGGACAACCUGAACUGCUUAGUCCUGAAUUACUUCUCUAAUGUUAUUCACAGAAUUUUCAGUUAUUGACACAAGAGCAGUAAGAAAAUGCCCUCAUUCUCUCAUGUAAUUCAGAUUUUGAGCUGCAGCUUAAGGGUAUCUCUGAAUUGUCUGUUAGUAUUUAUAUGACAAUCAGAUAAAAAUCCAGAUACCUAGAAGAUCCUGAACAUGAAAAGCCUUUGUAAAAAAUGUGGAGUUCCAGUUUUAUUUCUUCAAACAUUAAUUCAGACUGCAUUCAGUACAGUCUUCAUAUUUAUCCAAGGAUCAUAAAAUUGAGAUUUCUGCACAGCAAGCAAGCAGAGGAGUGUGUGGGGAUGGAUACAAAGGCAAAUGUGAGGUGAAGAGAGAUAAAUUAACUAAAAGGCUGGAUCCUGUGUGUCUACAGAGAAAGCUCUGUUAAUUUAAAUGAAAACCUUCCCUGGAUCAUUUAUCUUCACUAAAUCUCUUCUUAGAAACUGUUUUUGAUCACAUAUUCCUGUGCCUGUAUAAUUGAUGUUGCAGCACUGAAUCAUGGAAUUGCUGAGGUUGGAAAAGGCCUCUGAGAUCACCAAGUCCAACCUCUGACCAAACACCAUGUGGGACUUGAGGCCAGCAGGUGACAACAUCAUGUCCAGAGAACACUCAAUAUUCCAAAGAUUGGGCUUUCCCUCUGCAUCCAGAGAAGGACUCAAAGCAGAGGGUCCCAUAUCCCACAGAGCAUUCUGGAGCCCAGGCUGUUCAUCAUUCCAGGAUGGAUUGGUCUUUUCCUGUUCUUAAGGAAACUUUUCAAAAGCUUCUGACUCUUCUGAUGCAAAAUGAGGACAAAUGUGCAAGCCUGAAAGAGUUUCAGUAUUCAUUUUCUCCAGCCACGCUAGAUUCCCGGAGCUUGCCAUUAAUCUUCCCAGUGGAAUCGCUGAGUUUCUCACUGGGGUUCUGCUCCUUGCUCCCUCUGGAUCCAUGGAUCCGUGUGUGUCUUUGCCACACUCUCCAUGGAUAAAGGAUCCUGCAGAGCCUGUGCCUCUGCCCCAGCCCCUGCUCCUGCUGGCUGCUGUUCCAGGCCUGCCCCGUUCCUGGUGGAUCAACCUUCAUCCAGUGAUAUUUAAGGAUGGCAGCUGUGACCUCCCUCCCUGAAUUUCACCACUCUGUUUUUGCAGCCCUGAUCCUUCAGGAUAUCAGGAUGUGGCUGCCUAACCAAGGAAGAGUUUCCCUUCUCCGUUGGACACUGUCCCUACUGAUCCAUUCUGCCUUGGGAAAGGCUCACAUGCUCCAGUGAGCAAAGUGGUCCAGGAGCAGAGAGAUCCCUCCACAUCUGCUGCUGCUACAAGAACAGACAAAACCCCUGGUGGAAAUUGAAAGCAGCGUGAGUUGGAGUUCCUGGCAGAGCUGUGCUCUUUUUGUCUAAAGGGAGUAGGAAGAUGUGGCCAGAACAGAAAUUCAAUUCAUCAGUCUGGUUCCAUGGUUACUAAGAAACAGAGGGAUGCUGCUACACUGGAGUUAUUUCAUUCCCAGAUGAGAAAGGGAUGCUCAAGCUGAAAUACAAAUUUAUUUCUUUGAAAUUAUUCUGUUUCUCUUAGACAGGAGCCAGCACCCCAAUUUAAUCUGCACUGUCAGUGGAUGCUCCUUUUUGCUCUGCUCCCUGUCCUUCAGCAGAAGGGGAUGGGCAUCUUUGUGUGCUUAAUUAGUUUUUCUCUUUUUUUUGCAUUAACCUGCAUCGCCUUCAGCAGAUCAGGUUUUAUCCUCAGUAGGUAAAAAUAAAGAAAAGGAGUGGAUUCAGAUGAAGGAAAAGUCCCCACCUGUUUUUCAACUGAGCUUCAGGAAAUCUGCAGGACAAUGCAGAGACAGCAACAAAGGUGAGGGUCAGGUUUGAGAAAAACAGGUUUGUGUUUGAAAGGGGUGAGGAUUUUUCCACAGAUUCCCAGAAUCACUGAGGUUGGAAAAGCCCUCUAAGACCAUCGAGUCCAAGCUGUGCCCGAUCCCCAGAGCCCUGAGUGCCACCUCAGGUGUUCCUGGGACACCUCCAGGGAUGGGCACUCCAAACCUCCCUGGGCAGCCCCUGCCAAGGCCUGACCCCCCUUUCCAUGGGGAAAUUCCUCCUGGAGCCCACCCUGAGCCUGCCCUGGCCUAGCCUGGGGCCGUUCCCUCUCCUCCUGUCCCUGUUCCUGGAGCAGAGCCCGACCCCCCGGCUGUCCCCUCCUGGCAGGAGCUGUGCAGAGCCAGAAGGGCCCUGAGCCUCCUUUGCUCUAGGCUGAGCCCCCCCAACUGCUCUGGGCUCAGUCACCUCUCUCUGCAGGGAACCCCAGACUAAAAAGGCAGCUGAGGCAGAGAAGAAACACCAGUGCCUCCUCCUCCUCCUCCUCUUGUCCCUUGUUUUCCCUCAUCAGCUCCUUGGGGAACAUUCCCACUCCCUCAAAGCUGCCCAGGGAAGGAUGGCACCAGGAUAUCCAGCCAAAAGCUUCCCUGGGGUAAGGUUUUCCCACCACAAACCCAAUCCUAUCCCUGAAGGCUCCUCCUGCCUCCAUGACUCAUCCCUGCCUACCCUAAUUCUCAUCCUGUCUUUCCUCAGAGAGCUACUGCUUCCCCUGAGCCCUGGCAGGGAAUUCCAUCCCACUCAGCUGAUUUAUUCCUCCUCUGGUGAAGUGAACACUGCUUAAGUUCAUUCCAGCAACAAUGGAAACAUGUGAUGGGUGCCCACCAGAGCUCAUUCACUGCCUUCUGGGACUCCUGUUGAGGUCAGAGCAUGGCUUUGGGGGACUUUUAGGUGCCACAUUUCAAACUUGGCUUAAAAAUCUUAAAUAAUGACUGCCCUGGAGGAAAGCAGAGGUUUGCAAGGCCUGAUAGGAGUGUGGGGGCUGUCAGUCCUGAAAUACAUCAGCUAUGGAAAAUCAUGGAUAGAGAUGGAAGUUAAGAUUUCACUGUGCUCCUUACAUCCCUUUAGAGCACUGAUGGGUCCCUGCUGCUUUGUAUUCUGCUUCAGAUAGGCACCAGAGAGUUUGGGGUAAUUUCAGCUCACUAGGAAUCUUGUAUUUCUAAUGGAAAACUCUGUCUUAUUUUGCUUUAAUUUUUUAAACCUAUCCCAUUUAUUUCCAUGAAA